rnacentral:tRNA from 1 species
UCUCUAAUGGCUCAGCCAGUAAAGCAUCUGCCUGCAAUGUAGGAGACCCAGGUUUGAUCCCUGGGUUGGGAA